AAUUUCAACUCUAUCAUGAAAUGGUAUUUAUCCCAUCCAUUGAUAAAAUAAGUCACAUCUCUUUUUAGGCUAAUUUUCAGUACCACAGUAAAUCUGCAUCUGUCAACGGAUUAUUUGUAGGUGUAAGACCACCAAUGCACCCACUUCCAUUUAGAACGUAUGUAAAAGUAGUCCUCCCUGUAAAAUACGGCACCUUUGAUGUCAUUGUUCAAUUGAACUAAGAUACACAUUUGCAGAAAUGGGGGUUGGCCUAUUCCAUAGCUUCUAGAGAAUAAUAAUGAGGGGUGUCACGGGGUAUGACUAUAUAAGUCUUGUAGAGGAGAAACAGGCGCAUCUUUUGCGCAAGGUAUCGAAGGGCGCUAUGUUCAAAAAUCUGAAACUAGAACUCAAAAUUUGAAAAAAAAUUGUUUUAAACUGGGGGGUUGGCCUAUUCCAUGGCUUCUAGAGAAAAAUAAUGAGGGGUGUCACGGGGUAUGACUAUAUAGGUCUUGUAGAGGAGAAACAGGCGCAUCUUUUGCGCAAGGUAUCGAAGGGCGCUAUGUUGAAAAAUCUGAAACUAGAGCUCAAAAUUUGAAAAAAAAUUGUUUUAAACUGGGGGGUUGGCCUAUUCCAUGGCUUCUAGAGAAAAAUAAUAAGGGUUGUCACGGGUUAUGACUAUAUAGGUCUUGUAGAGGAGAAACAGGCGCAUCUUUUGCGCAAGGUAUCGAAGGGCGCUAUGUUCAAAAAUCUGAAACUAGAGCUCAAAAUUUGAAAAAAAAUUGUUUUAAACAGGGGGGUUGGCCUAUUCCAUGGCUUCUAGAGAAAAAUAAUGAGGGGUGUCACGAGGUAUGACUAUAUAGGUCUUGUAGAGGAGAAACAGGUGCAUCUUUUGCGCAAGGUAUCGAAGGGCGCUAUGUUCAAAAAUCUGUAACUAGAGCUCAAAAUUUGAAAACAAUUGUUAAAAACAGGGGGGUUAGCCUAUUCCAUGGCUUCUAGAGAAAAAUAAUGAGGGUUGUCACGGGGUAUGACUAUAUAGGUCUUGUAGAGGAGAAACAGGCGCAUCUUUUGCGCAAGGUAUCGAAGGGCGCUAUGUUGAAAAAUCUGAAACUAGAGCUCAAAAUUUGAAAAAAAAUUGUUUUAAACUGGGGGGUUGGCCUAUUCCAUGGCUUCUAGAGAAAAAUAAUGAGGGGUGUCACGGGGUAUGACUAUAUAGGUCUUGAAAAGGAGAAACAGGCGCAUCUUUUGCGCAAGGUAUCGAAGGGCGCUAUGUUGAAAAAUCUGAAACUAGAGCUCAAAAUUUGAAAAAAAAUUGUUAAAAACAGGGGGGUUAGCCUAUUCCAUGGCUUCUAGAGAAAAAUAAUGAGGGGUGUCACGAGGUAUGACUAUAUAGGUCUUGUAGAGGAGAAACAGGCGCAUCGUUUGCGCAAGGUAUCAAAGGGCGCUAUGUUAAAAAAUCUGAAACUAGAGCUCAAAAUUUGAAAAAAAAAUUGUUAAAAACAGGGGGGUUGGCCUAUUCCAUGGCUUCUAGAGAAAAAUAAUGAGGAGUGUCACGAGGUAUGACUAUAUAGGUCUUGUAGAGGAGAAACAGGCGCAUCGUUUGCGCAAGGUAUCGAAGGGCGCUAUGUUCAAAAAUCUGAAACUAAAGCUCAAAAUUUGAAAAAAAUUUGUUAAAAACAGGGGGGUUAGCCUAUUCCAUGGCUUCUAGAGAAAAAUAAUAAGGGGUGUCACGGGGUAUGACUAUAUAGGUCUUGUAGAGGAGAAACAGGCGCAUCUUUUGCGCAAGGUAUCGAAGGGCGCUAUGUUCAAAAAUCUGAAACUAGAGCUCAAAAUUUGAAAAAAAAUUGUUUUAAACUGGGGGGUUGGCCUAUUCCAUGGCUUCUAGAGAAAAAUAAUGAGGGGUGUCACGGGGUAUGACUAUAUAGGUCUUGAAAAGGAGAAACAGGCGCAUCUUUUGCGCAAGGUAUCGAAGGGCGCUAUGUUGAAAAAUCUGAAACUAGAGCUCAAAAUUUGAAAAAAAAUUGUUAAAAACAGGGGGGUUAGCCUAUUCCAUGGCUUCUAGAGAAAAAUAAUGAGGGGUGUCACGAGGUAUGACUAUAUAGGUCUUGUAGAGGAGAAACAGGCGCAUCGUUUGCGCAAGGUAUCAAAGGGCGCUAUGUUAAAAAAUCUGAAACUAGAGCUCAAAAUUUGAAAAAAAAAUUGUUAAAAACAGGGGGGUUGGCCUAUUCCAUGGCUUCUAGAGAAAAAUAAUGAGGAGUGUCACGAGGUAUGACUAUAUAGGUCUUGUAGAGGAGAAACAGGCGCAUCGUUUGCGCAAGGUAUCGAAGGGCGCUAUGUUCAAAAAUCUGAAACUAGAGCUCAAAAUUUGAAAAAAAUUUGUUAAAAACAGGGGGGUUAGCCUAUUCCAUGGCUUCUAGAGAAAAAUAAUAAGGGGUGUCACGGGGUAUGACUAUAUAGGUCUUGUAGAGGAGAAACAGGCGCAUCUUUUGCGCAAGGUAUCGAAGGGCGCUAUGUUCAAAAAUCUGAAACUAGAGCUCAAAAUUUGAAAAAAAAUUGUUUUAAACAGGGGGGUUGGCCUAUUCGAUGGCUUCUAGAGAAAAAUAAUGAGGGGUGUCACGGGGUAUGACUAUAUAGGUCUUGUAGAGGAGAAACAGGCGCAUCUUUUGCGCAAGGUAUCGAAGGGCGCUAUGUUCAAAGAUCUGAAACUAGAGCUCAAAAUUUGAAAAAAAUUUGUUAAAAACAGGGGGGUUAGCCUAUUCCAUGGCUUCUAGAGAAAAAUAAUGAGGGGUGUCACGGGGUAUGACUAUAUAGGUCUUGUAGAGGAGAAACAGGCGCAUCUUUUGCGCAAGGUAUCGAAGGGCGCUAUGUUCAAAAAUCUGAAACUAGAGCUCAAAAUUUGAAAAAAAAUUGUUUUAAACAGGGGGGUUGGCCUAUUCGAUGGCUUCUAGAGAAAAAUAAUGAGGGGUGUCACGGGGUAUGACUAUAUAGGUCUUGUAGAGGAGAAACAGGCGCAUCUUUUGCGCAAGGUAUCGAAGGGCGCUAUGUUCAAAGAUCUGAAACUAGAGCUCAAAAUUUGAAAAAAAAUUGUUAAAAACAGGGGGGUUAGCCUAUUCCAUGGCUUCUAGAGAAAAAUAAUGAGGGGUGUCACGGGGUAUGACUAUAUAGGUCUUGUAGAAGAGAAACAGG